UACGUAGGGGGCAAGAGUUGUCCGGAUUUAUUGGGCGUAAAGAGCGUGUAGGCGGCCUUACAGGUCAGCUGUGAAAACUCGAGGCUCAACCUCGAGACGUCGGUUGAAACCGUAAGGCUAGAGUCCGGAAGAGGAGAGUGGAAUUCCCGGUGUAGCGGUGAAAUGCGCAGAUAUCGGGAAGAACACCCGUGGCGAAGGCGGCUCUCUGGGACGGUACUGACGCUGAGACGCGAAAGCGUGGGGAGCGAACAGG
rnacentral:rRNA from 1 species